rnacentral:tRNA from 1 species
GCCUGGGUGGCUUAAUUGGUUAAGUGUCUGACUCGUGGUUUCGGCUCAGGUCAUGAUCUCAGGGUCGUGGGAUCGAGCCCCACCUCCGGCU